CAGAGAGUGAAAUCCUUACAUUGC
rnacentral:siRNA from 1 species